CAGGUAAACAAAAUUAAGUGGUUUUCAUUAUACAAGUUACGUACCUAUCGAGAGUUAGACGGGAUCCUCUCGAUGAUGUUGUACAUAUACGUUUUCCAAAACUCAUGGUGAUGAAUUAUACACGAAAGUCUUCUUUAAGAAUGAUCUACAUGAUGUCGGGUUAAACAUAGUGGUCAUUUUCACAAUGUUCUGGGAUCACAUAUCGACAUUCGGUAGUAAAUAACCUGAACCUUUG
rnacentral:lncRNA from 1 species